AUAUAUAAAGCUAGUGGACCCCACCAAUACUUUAGACACCGGGCCUAAAGGCCUUUGAUUCGACUGUUUUUUUCUCUCUCUGCAUAUCUCUCUCUCUCGUUAGAAUUCCAGUAGUUUCUUUUCCUUUUCUUUUCUUUUUUCUUUUUCAAUUUCAAGCUUUGAUUUCUCCUUCCAUACUUGGAAUUUUUGAGUGCCAUUUGCAGCAAAUCGAAGAGCACAGCGAGAUCUACUUGUGAGUACCAACAAUUUCAGUUUUGGUGCACUCUAGGGAGUUCAAAAUUAUAGGAUUCUUGGGCUCAAAUUGGAAGUUUUCAUCAAUUUGAGGAUAUGGAAAAGAAGUGGCGGACGACGGUCCACCACAGGUUUAGACGAACUUGAAGACCCAUUCUAUUUUGUUAUCUUUUGUAUUAGACUCUAGUAUUUUGUAAAUGUAAUGUUAACUACCUUGUAAAACUUUAGUUUAAUUAGUAUAAUGUUAUAAGUUAUGGACUUUAAACUUCUUACUACAUUUUGGACUGUAAAUUGAUGUAACUAAAGUGUAUCACUUGUUUGGAUGAGAUGGAGGAACGGGACUUCUGUAUGUAUGUAGCCAUUUUGGGAAUGUAAUAUAAUAUCGGUAUUGUGAGUUGUGA